AGAGUUUGAUUAUGGCUCAGAUUGAACGCUGGCGGCAGGCCUAACACAUGCAAGUCGAGCGGUAGCACAGAGAGCUUGCUCUUGGGUGACGAGCGGCGGACGGGUGAGUAAUGUCUGGGAAACUGCCUGAUGGAGGGGGAUAACUACUGGAAACGGUAGCUAAUACCGCAUAACGUCGCAAGACCAAAGAGGGGGACCUUCGGGCCUCUUGCCAUCAGAUGUGCCCAGAUGGGAUUAGCUAGUAGGUGGGGUAACGGCUCACCUAGGCGACGAUCCCUAGCUGGUCUGAGAGGAUGACCAGCCACACUGGAACUGAGACACGGUCCAGACUCCUACGGGAGGCAGCAGUGGGGAAUAUUGCACAAUGGGCGCAAGCCUGAUGCAGCCAUGCCGCGUGUAUGAAGAAGGCCUUCGGGUUGUAAAGUACUUUCAGCGGGGAGGAAGGUGUUGAGGUUAAUAACCUCAGCAAUUGACGUUACCCGCAGAAGAAGCACCGGCUAACUCCGUGCCAGCAGCCGCGGUAAUACGGAGGGUGCAAGCGUUAAUCGGAAUUACUGGGCGUAAAGCGCACGCAGGCGGUCUGUCAAGUCGGAUGUGAAAUCCCCGGGCUCAACCUGGGAACUGCAUUCGAAACUGGCAGGCUAGAGUCUUGUAGAGGGGGGUAGAAUUCCAGGUGUAGCGGUGAAAUGCGUAGAGAUCUGGAGGAAUACCGGUGGCGAAGGCGGCCCCCUGGACAAAGACUGACGCUCAGGUGCGAAAGCGUGGGGAGCAAACAGGAUUAGAUACCCUGGUAGUCCACGCCGUAAACGAUGUCGACUUGGAGGUUGUGCCCUUGAGGCGUGGCUUCCGGAGCUAACGCGUUAAGUCGACCGCCUGGGGAGUACGGCCGCAAGGUUAAAACUCAAAUGAAUUGACGGGGGCCCGCACAAGCGGUGGAGCAUGUGGUUUAAUUCGAUGCAACGCGAAGAACCUUACCUACUCUUGACAUCCAGAGAACUUUCCAGAGAUGGAUUGGUGCCUUCGGGAACUCUGAGACAGGUGCUGCAUGGCUGUCGUCAGCUCGUGUUGUGAAAUGUUGGGUUAAGUCCCGCAACGAGCGCAACCCUUAUCCUUUGUUGCCAGCGGUCCGGCCGGGAACUCAAAGGAGACUGCCAGUGAUAAACUGGAGGAAGGUGGGGAUGACGUCAAGUCAUCAUGGCCCUUACGAGUAGGGCUACACACGUGCUACAAUGGCGCAUACAAAGAGAAGCGACCUCGCGAGAGCAAGCGGACCUCAUAAAGUGCGUCGUAGUCCGGAUUGGAGUCUGCAACUCGACUCCAUGAAGUCGGAAUCGCUAGUAAUCGUAGAUCAGAAUGCUACGGUGAAUACGUUCCCGGGCCUUGUACACACCGCCCGUCACACCAUGGGAGUGGGUUGCAAAAGAAGUAGGUAGCUUAACCUUCGGGAGGGCGCUUACCACUUUGUGAUUCAUGACUGGGGUGAAGUCGUAACAAGGUAACCGUA
rnacentral:rRNA from 1 species